rnacentral:lncRNA from 1 species
GUUUGAGAUGUGUUAGCAAAUGAGCAUUCAUCUAGACAUAGAGCUUGCUUAGAAUUGUGUCUAGGCUUAAGGUUGAUAGUUUGAUUGAUCAUUUGCCAUCCUUAGUUCGAUACUUGAUCACCCAAGGUCUAAUCCCUAUGCCCAUGAAUUCUCUUUUCCCUUAGUCAAGAAAGUAUCAUUCUGUUAUUGCUUUUUAGUUUUAGUCAUAGCUUAAAACCCAUCUAAAUCAUUGGUUGCACUUAGAUUAAGUGAGUACUUGCAUUCUCAGUGCUUUGAUAUCCCUCAGAACUGGUUCGACAAUCUUCUAUACUACAACAUUUGUCUUAGGAGCCUUGAAAACUCCUAACAUCAAAUUGGCGCCGUUGCCAAAUUCUGAGUAGAUUUAAACAUUGAGAUUUAGUCACUUGCUUGAGACUAAGUCAUUUUUAUUUUCUUUUGUUAUUGAUUCUCUUUCUUCACCUCCCUUUAAUCUACAGGUGUAUGAACUUGAGGAGCAGGGGUCCAUCAAACCUAGUUCCAAGAGCUGCAGACAUCAGAGCUUUAGAGAGAGAGUGUGCUAGAAAGAGAAGAGAAGAAGAGCAACAGGCUCACUUGCAGAGAUUGGAUACUGAUAUGGGAGACAUACCUCAAAACCAACAGCGAGCAGCUCGACCCAUUGGCACUUACGACCGCCCCAACAUUCAUGGUCAUAGAUUGGGAAUCCGAGCACCCGCUGUGGCAGCCAACAACUUUGAGAUCAAAUCAGGACUCCUCAACGUGAUCGAGAACAACAAGUAUCAUGGCUUGGCUCUAGAGGAUCCAUUUGAUCACUUGGACAGGUUGACAGCUACUGUGGGUUGUCAAAAACCAAUGGUGUGUCCGAAGAUGCCUUAAAGCUCAAGCUAUUCCCUUUCUCUUUGGGGGAUAAGGCACGUCAGUGGGAGAAGUCUCUACCCAGCGACUCCAUCACCACUUGGGAUGACUGCAAGAAAGCAUUCUUGGAGAAGUUCUUCUCUACUUCAAGAACUGCUAAGCUGAGAAACGAGAUUUCCAGCUUUCAACAGAAGAACUUGGAAGGCUUCAGUGAAGCCUGGGAGAGAUUCAAGGGCUACCAAGCUCAAUGCCCACACCAUGGCUUUCUAAGGAGAGCUUGCUGAGCACAUUCUACCGUGGUGCUCUUCCUAAGUACAGAGCCAGACUGGAUACAGCUAGCAAUGGGUUCUUCUUGGGGAGAACUGAGGAGGAUGCAGAAGAGCUGGUUGACAACAUGGUAAAGAGUGAUGCAGUCUACAGUGGAGACCACGACAGAGGCAGUAGAACAGAUGAUAAGCAGACGAGGAAAGAGAUCAAAGCUUUGGAAGACAAGAUCGACCUACUCAUUGCUGAAAAAGCCACCCAAGAGCAGCUGAAGUUUGUUGGUAACUCCAAGCAGGAAGAUCCACUUGCUGUCAAUGAGGUUGAGGGUUUGGAAGGUCAAGGAGUUGUGUUUCAUUAACAACAAUGGUAGCUGGUACAAAAAGGAGCCCAACUUUCAGUACAACAACUACCAACAGAAAUCCUAUCCAAACAACCAACAGAGUGGCUAUCCGCCAAGAAACAACCAGCAAGGCAGCUAUCAGCCUCAGCAAAACCCCUCGUCUGGUUCCUCUGCUCCUCAAGAGAGCAGCACUGAUACCUUACUGAAACAAAUCUUGGAGUCUCAGACUAGAAGUGAGAAGCAUGUUGGUUAUGAGUUGAAGAACCUUCAUUACCAAGAUUGAUGGGAGCUACAAUGAGCUCAACAACAAAUUCUCACACCUUGCUUCUACAGUCAGGAAUUUAGAGAAUCAGUUUGCUUCCAUGAACACUCACCAGAAUCGCCAGCAAGGAUCUCUACCUGGAAAGUCUGACCAAAACCCAAGGAGGCCAAAGCUAUCACCCUUAGGAGUGGUAAGCAGUUACCUCCUAGAACCCUCACCAAGGAUGCUGAGAAACUAGGUGAGGGGGUUGCCAUCAACAUAGAUGAUGAAGUGGUGAUUGUUGAUGAGAAGAUCAAUGACGAGAUCUUGGAGAAGAUAGUGGAAGCCAAAGGUAAAGGAAAGGUUGGGAAGAGAAGAAGACAGUAAAGGAUGGUGAAGUUGUUACUCCAGCAAGUGAAAGUUCUUUUGUUCCUCCUCCCUAUGAACCCAAACUUCCAUUCCCUGGUAGAUUCAAGAAGCAGCUGCUAGAGAAGUACAAGGCUCUGUUUGAGAAGCAAAUGAGUGAAGCUCAGGUUGCAAUGCCCAUCAUCGAUGCUUUCAUGUUGAUUCCUCAAUACAACAAGUUCCUGAAAGAUGUUGUAGCUGCAAAGAAGAAGGAGAUGGAAGGCAUGAUGAUUCUUACCCAUGAGUGCAAUGCCAUCAUCCAGAGGCUUGAUGUUCCAGAGAAAUUAGAGGAUCCAGGAAGCUUCACACUACCUUGUGCUCUUGGACCUAUGGUAUUUGAGAAAAGUCUCUGCGAUUUGGGAGCUAGUGUCAGCUUGAUGCCUUUGUCUGUUGCAAAGAAGCUUGGAUUCACUCAGUACAAGAAGUGUAGACUCUCUCUGGUGUUAGCUGAUCGUUCAGUGAAGUAUCCUGUGGGCAUCUUAGAGGACCUCCCUGUGAAGAUUGGAAGGUAUGAGAUACCUACAGAUUUUGUGGUGCUUGAGAUGGGUGAGGAGGCUCAAGACCCAUUGAUUCUAGGAAGGCCAUUCUUAGCUACAGCAGGAGCUAUUGUUAAUGUGAAGGAAGGCACGAUUGAUCUCCAUUUGGGUAAAGAGAACAUCCUCCACUUUGACAUCAAAGGGAAAAUGAGGAAACCAACUGUGUUCGGGCAAGCCUUCUACAUUGAAGAGAUGGCCACUCCUGCUGAUGAGCACCUUGAAGAGUUACCACCUGAAGACGAUGAGGAGGGAGCAUCUCCCUCUACUCAUUCCCCAUAGAAGGUAACCCACCACACUCCCCUGUAUAUACCUUUUUAUUUUUGCAUAUUAGUCUUCUUUUCGGUAUCUCUCUCUCUACUUGACAACACAGAGACUGUGUAACUCAAGUUUGGGGGAGGUACCAAGUAUUUGAUCAUGUUUGCUUUGAUGUUGUUUCAUUGAGUCAUGCAUGGCAUACCUAUUUGCAUAGAUAAAAAAAAAAUCAAUCAUUUAGUUUGCAUCAUUUGCAUUUUUAGGAGAGUCUAGAGCAUAUAGGUUGCAUUCACUUGCAUUGGGAGCAAUGAUUUUGAAUGCCUUGUAAAGAACACUACGUUGCACCUGAGUAGCUUUUGCACCUCUCAAAAAGACUUGUAUGUUUCGAGCCUUGAAAACUCUUCCUGAAACUUGUUGAUUGCUGAAACUCAGUCUUUGAAGCCAACUACAACCUUAUUUGAACUGAACGAACUUAAUGCUUCUUGCUCAUGGUCCCUUGUGUACUGAGUCAUGGCUAUAUACACUUGAGUUGUCACAUCUUUUAUACCAAUUUUUUUUGACAAACUCUAGUGGUAGACCACUCCCAAAACCUUUUCCUCCUUUUAAGCUUUCAUUGUUUGAUGAGUGAGGCCUUUUUCGGAAAGUCUUACAUGUGCAUAAUGUUGAGAGUAUCGGGAACGACAAUGCUUGAUCUUCAUUCUUGCUAGAUUGGGCACUCUAUUGUCUAGCUAUAGGUGGGGGUGAGUGUUGUGAUUAUGACUUGGGAGAAAUGAAAAAGGAAAAGAAUAGACUCUUUGUGCUUAAGUGAAUUGUUCUAUUGGGACCAGUAUAGAAGCCUCUAGCUCAAGUUUUGAAAAGUCUUGGCCCCCAGCCUAAAAAAAAAAGGGAAAAAGAAAAACGAAAAAAAAAAAAAGAGAAAAGAAAAAAAAAAGAAAAAAAAGAAAAGAAAAAGGGGGCUAGCAAAGUUGUUAGGAGCUAAGAAAUGUUUUGAGGUUGUGAAAAAUCCCUUGUAGAUUUCAAAGAGAAGAAGUUAAAGUUCUUAGGAUCUUUUGGUGAGAGAUGUGAGUUGGGUUUGACAUUUGGGAAUGAUUGUGUAAUUGUAUGUUUGGGAAAAGGGUAGAACAAUGGAGAUUGAGCAUUGUAUGCAUGAGUUGGUCCAUUUCUUAGAUAUAUUAUGUGCAAUGUCAAGGCUACUUGUUUUGAGAGUAAACCACCUUAAAGAUCAUAUGUUUUGAACCUCUUGAAUCACUUGAAUAAAAGCUUUCCCUUAUCCAACCAAAUGACUUGGACCAACUGACCAUUUGCAAGAAUUCACCUGAUGUUUUGUGCUUAAUGAAUGUGAGAGUUGGUUGAUUUGAAUGUGUGGAUGCUUGAUGAUGAGUGUAAGAACAAAAAGAGUUAAGAUAGGCCUAGAGAAGCUAGAGUGUAAUAAGAGAGUGUGCUAGUUGUGUUUCUUUUGGCUAUGUGCUCCCUCCUUCAACCUCUCUCCCUAUGAGUUCUAGAAAGUUCACUUGUGGACAAGUAAAAGAACAAGUUUGGGGGAGUUGAUAUCUUGCAUAUUUGCAUUGUUUUAUCCAUUCAUCCAUUAGCAUUUUCAUCAUAUAGAUUAGGAUUUAGCCAUGUCUAGGUUGCAUUUUGCAUUCAUUGUCCUCAUUAGGUGUUGGAGUGCCACAUGGAGUUCUUGGGGACAUUUGGAUGCAUUUGGAGCUUAAAGGACGUGAAACAGGUGAUCAUUGGACGAGCAGAGCAUGGGAGCGAGGUUCCGCAGCGACAUCAUGAGGUCGCUCCAAAGCACCUCUCAGAGCGACCUAGCUAGAGCGACCCCGUGAAGUCGCUCGCCAUAUUCAUCCCGUUGGAAGCCCAGAGCGACUUGCCCAAAGCGACGCACCGAGGUCGUUCGCAUCUCACACCCCUCUCGGAGCGACCUCCCAAAGCGACACCCCGAGGUCGCUCGCGUCUCUAUGGCGAGACGACAAGAAGCGAAGCCCGGAGUGACCUCUCAGAGCGACCCACUGAGGUCGCUCCCGAAGGCCGGAGCGACUUGUCGGAGCGACAUGCCGAGGUCGCUCCGCGUCUAUUGUUGGGUCGAUUUCUAUUUUACUUAAGGGCCUUUUGGUCAUUUCAUUAUGCACGUUUUACAUUUCUAAAACCUAUGUUUUAAACAUCUUUUGUAGCCACCAGAGGCAGAUUAUCUUUUAUCUUUUGAUCUAUUGAGAAAUACACAAGAACUCUCUUGAGAAGUUCAUCUCUUGGGUUUUGAUUUGUUAUGUUCUUGUGUUGAUUUCUUAUCUAUUUCUUACAUGAUUAAUCUGAAAUCCAAUAUGGGUUUAAGAGGAAUCAUGGAGAUUAGUGAGUAAUCACCUUUUGAAUUCAUGGGUUAGGGAGAUUAAGGGUGAUUAGGUUAGAGCUAGGAUGUUUUAGUGUAGAUCAUUCAUAUUUCCUUGCUAGUAGAGUAAUCAUAAUGCAUCUUCUGAGUUGGCCACUCAGUUGUUGAUCCUUAGGCAUUUCUCACCCGAAAGGUGUUCGAUGAAAUGCCCGAGACAACUCUCCUAGGCUUUUAGUAUACUUUGCCAAAGACAUUUGUUGUUAAAGUGCUAAGAUAGCUAAUAGACUUGUUAGUAAUGAUUGCUUUCAUAUUAUUCAACCAAAGACAUUUGAUGUUUGAGAUGUGUUAGCAAAUGAGCAUUCAUCUAGACAUAGAGCUUGCUUAGAAUUGUGUCUAGGCUUAAGGUUGAUAGUUUGAUUGAUCAUUUGCCAUCCUUAGUUCGAUACUUGAUCACCAAGGUCUAAUCCCUAUGCCCAUGAGUUCUCUUUUCCCUUAGUCAAGAAAGUAUCAUUCUGUUAUUGCUUUUUAGUUUUAGUCAUAGCUUAAAACCCAUCUAAAUCAUUGGUUGCACUUAGAUUAAGUGAGUACUUGCAUUCUCAGUGCUUUGAUAUCCCUCAGAACUGGUUCGACAAUC